UACGUAGGGUGCAAGCGUUGUCCGGAAUUAUUGGGCGUAAAGAGCUCGUAGGCGGUCUGUCGCGUCUGCUGUGAAAACUCAGGGCUUAACCCUGAGCUUGCAGUGGGUACGGGCAGACUAGAGUGGCGGUAGGGGAGACUGGAAUUCCUGGUGUAGCGGUGAAAUGCGCAGAUAGUCAGGAGGAACACCGGUGGCGAAGGCGGGUCUCUGGGCCGAUAACUGACG
rnacentral:rRNA from 1 species